CACGCCGUAAACGAUGAGUGCUAGGUGUCAAGGGGUUUCCGCCCCUUGGUGCUGCAGUUAACGCAUUAAGCACUCCGCCUGGGGAGUACGGCCGCAAGGCUGAAACUCAAAAGAAUUGACGGGGGCCCGCACAAGCGGUGGAGCAUGUGGUUUAAUUCGAAGCAACGCGAAGAACCUUACCAGGUCUUGACAUCCUCUGAUACCUCUAGAGAUAGAGCAUUCCCUUCGGGGACAGAGUGACAGGUGG
rnacentral:rRNA from 1 species